UGCUUGCACCUUUCAAGCGAGUGGCGAACGGGUGAGUAACACGUGGAUAACCUGCCUCAAGGCUGGGGAUAACAUUUAGAAACAGAUGCUAAUACCGAAUAAAACUUAGUAUCGCAUGAUAUCAAGUUAAAAGGCGCUACGGCGUCACCUAGAGAUGGAUCCGCGGUGCAUUAGUUAGUUGGUGGGGUAAAGGCUUACCAAGGCGAUGAUGCAUAGCCGAGUUGAGAGGGUAAUCGGCCACACUGGGACUGAGACACGGCCCAGACUCC
rnacentral:rRNA from 1 species